rnacentral:lncRNA from 1 species
AUGGGGACCAGAGGGGUAGGGGGCAGAUGGCUGGCCUGGUGGGGGACUUCCAUAGGCCGGGAAGCCGUAUGCAGGAGGAGGGGGGUAGUCACCACCUCGGGGGCCGUAGAGGUGGGUACUAGAGUCAUCAAAAACCCGGGGGAAAGUCAGACCGCUGCAUACCGUCUGGGAGGAAAUCAGACCGCUGCAUACGGUCUGGGAGGAAAUCAGACCGCUGCAUACCGUCUGGGAGGAAAUCAGACCGCUGCAUACCGUCUGGGAGGAAAUCAGACCGCUGCAUACCGUCUGGGAGGAAAUCAGACCGCUGCAUACCGUCUGGGAGGAAAUCAGACCGCUGCAUACCGUCUGGGAGGAAAUCAGACCGCUGCAUACCGUCUGGGAGGAAAUCAGACCGCUGCAUACCGUCUGGGAGGAAAUCAGACCGCUGCAUACCGUCUGGGAGGAAAUCAGACCGCUGCAUACUGUCUGGGAGAGAGACAGAGAAGGAGGACCCCCUCCCAGGAAGACCGGUGACCCAGGGACCCCCUCCCAGGAAGACCGGUGACCCAGGGACCCCCUCCCAGCAAGACCGGUGACCCAGGGACCCCCUCCCAGGAAAACCGGUGACCCAGGGAUCCCCUCCCAGGAAGACCGGUGACCCAGGGACCCCCUCCCAGGAAGACCGGUGACCCAGGGACCCCCUCCCAGGAAGACCGGUGACCCAGGGACCCCCUCCCAGGAAAACCGGCUACCCAGGGAUCCCCAUCAUAUGUUAGCAAAACUUUUUUUUUCACAUCUUGUCUUAUCAUCAGGUAAAUGAUAAUGGCAAGGAGAAGUAAUCUACAUUAGAAAAUAAUAGAUUUGGAAGAGCGUUUUUUAUGAUUUUGACCUCCGCACAUAGUUGAAGAAAAAUUACUUUGAGAAGCUCCACAGCUCAUUAGUGGUGGUGAGUUAAGACAAUCAGAAAUACUAUCAGACAUCCCCAAAUGGGCACAUUUAUAGGCCUAUAUUUGUGCGCAGGCCAGGUAGACUAGUCCUACUUCUAUAUGUGUAAUCAGGUGCGCGACCUUUGACUCUUUAAUGCAUUAGUUCUUUCAUCUCCUGUGUGUCAACUGAACUAUUAGUGGUUUGGGCAGUAAGGCAGAGCAGUUGUUAUGAAGGAAAUGACAUGGGGGGGACUUUACUAGAUUAUUGAGACAUAAAUUAGGAAUUAGAGUUCAUUUUCAGCUGUG